rnacentral:rRNA from 1 species
ACGAGAGGUUUCGAUUCUGGCUCAGGAUGAACGCUGGCGGCGUGCCUAAUACAUGCAAGUCGAACGGAAAUUUAUCGCUGAAGUGGGUUUACUCAAUUCUUGAUAAAUUUAGUGGCGGACGGGUGAGUAACGCGUGGGUAACCUGCCUUACACUGGGGGACAACAGUUGGAAACGACUGCUAAUACCGCAUAAGCGCACAGAAUCGCAUGAUUCAGUGUGAAAAACUCCGGUGGUGUAAGAUGGACCCGCGUCUGAUUAGCUAGUUGGUGAGGUAACGGCCCACCAAGGCGACGAUCAGUAGCCGGCCUGAGAGGGUGAACGGCCACAUUGGGACUGAGACACGGCCCAAACUCCUACGGGAGGCAGCAGUAGGGAAUAUUGCACAAUGGGGGAAACCCUGAUGCCAGCAACGCCGCGUGAGUGAAGAAGUAUUUCGGUAUGUAAAGCUCUAUCAGCAGGGAAGAAAAUGACGGUACCUGACUAAGAAGCCCCGGCUAACUACGUGCCAGCAGCCGC